CUCAGGUGGGACUGAUUUGUGAUGAAGAUAUUGUAAGCUGAAAAUAGAACAGGACGUGGCUUUGUGGGACUGGGCAUGAUUUGUAAGUCAGACCGAUGCACAAAAAGGGUAGAUAAUAAAGGGGUGGGGCUUAAAAUGUGGGAGUGUCUUUGUGAGAUGAGGUGUGGCUUGCAAGCCGUAUUGGCACAUUCACCAGGAGAUGCAGAACGGAGCUUGUGGAGUAAGGUAGUGGAAGUCCCAUUUACUUGCAUGGGACUUGAAACAAAAACCCAUCUUUUAUAUAAGAGUGUAGGAUUAAAAAAGACUAACAAGGAGAAAAGUAACUUCAGUGAAUGAUACGCAUGACAUCUUCUAUGCCAGGAACAGAAUCAGACAGCUGGUCUUCUGAGUCGGAGGAAUGGAGUUUGGAAACCUUGACUUGUCUGAUUAGAAUCCAUGAAGAAACUGGAAUCAACAGGAGCACCUGGAGCUCCACAUGUCAUAAACUUGUAUUAUGGGGAUUCAGGGCCAGGCUCAGACUACAUACAGAACAUAGGAACAGCCAGAUCCAUCCUUAGCAUUUCCAAGGAAGUUGUAUGAAGGUUCUACUCAAUAUUUGUCUAUAGCCUAUAGGAGAAUUAUGACUGCUAUAUAUAUAUAUAUAUAUAUAUAUAUAUAUA